rnacentral:rRNA from 1 species
AGCGAACGCUGGCGGCAGGCCUAACACAUGCAAGUCGAACGGAUCCUUCGGGAUUAGUGGCGGACGGGUGAGUAACACGUGGGAACGUGCCCUUUGGUUCGGAACAACUCAGGGAAACUUGAGCUAAUACCGGAUGUGCCCUUCGGGGGAAAGAUUUAUCGCCAUUGGAGCGGCCCGCGUCUGAUUAGCUAGUUGGUGAGGUAACGGCCCACCAAGGCGACGAUCAGUAGCUGGUCUGAGAGGAUGGUCAGCCACACUGGGACUGAGACACGGCCCAGAAUCCUACGGGAGGCAGCAGUGGGGAAUCUUGCGCAAUGGGCGAAAGCAUGACGCAGCCAUGCCGCGUGAAUGAUGAAGGUCUUAGGAUUGUAAAAUUCUUUCAGCGGGGACGAUAAUGACGGUACCCUCAGAAGAAGCUCCGGCUAACUUCGUG